GACGAACGCUGGCGGCGUGCUUAACACAUGCAAGUCGAACGGAAAGGCCCUGCUUUUGUGGGGUGCUCGAGUGGCUAACGGGUGAGUAACUCGUGAGUAACUUGCCCUUGACUUUGGGAUAACUUCAGGAAACUGGGGCUAAUACCUGAUAUGAGCUCCUGCUGCAUGGUGGGGGUUGGAAAGUUUCGGCGGUUGGGGAUGGACUCGCGGCUUAUCAGCUUGUUGGUGGGGUAGUGGCUUAUCAAGGCUUUGACGGGUAGCCGGCCUGAGAGGGUGACCGGCCACAGUGGGAGUGAGAUACGGCCCAGAAUCCUGCGGGAGGCAGCAGUGGGGAAUAUUGCAAAAUGGGCGGAAGCCUGAUGCAGCAACGCCGCGUGCGGGAUGACGGCCUUCGGGUUGUAAACCGCUUUCGCCUGUGACGAAGCGUGAGUGAAGGUAAUGGGUAAAGAAGCACCGGCUAACUACGUG
rnacentral:rRNA from 1 species